GUGAAGAUGCAGUUCAGAGGUUGUCCAGCAGGUGCGGCCACCUCCUGCUUUGGGUCCAAUCAGGCUCCAGAUUCCAAAGCUGAGAUCUUCUUGACAAACAUUAAUAGACUGCUUCCUAGUUGUAACUCACCUAAUCUGGAACCCGCUGCUCCUCUGACAACAACAGAGAGAAAACAUCCAAACUGAUGACAAAACUAUUUGUUUUCGCUUCUUUCAAUUUGACAUUUGUGGUUUUUCAUUUCUGUUUUCUCUGUCAUGCUAUUUUUUGGUGGAUAAUCUUUUUUCCCCUUAUUUCUCAGGUUCUUUUUUUUCUUGUGGCCAUGCCUUGUCUGCUUCCUCCUUACAUCGGAGAGACUGAAACAGAAGCAGGUUGAGUGUAUAAAUGAGGUUAGGUCAGUUCAGAAUUUUCAGUCAUUGAUGGGAACCCGUCCCCUUUUUCUCUUGAACUCAGAUGCACUUCUUGUUUCUUUUUGGAAAGUAGUCUUUUCAAUUGUCCUUCCAGAUGAGAUGUUUGUUUAGAGCAGGGGUUCUUAAACUUCUUCAAACAAGGAUAAA